CUCCUUCAAUUCAUGAGUGUGAUGAUUGGGUGUUCAUGCUAUAUGCAUGAGAUGUGCCUCCCUCAAACCUUGUUUCAAUAUCGGUACAUUACCUGUCUCAUG
rfam:Fukomys damarensis contig121993, whole genome shotgun sequence.